CUUAAUGCAGAUUUUUCCGCUGAUUCGGCUGCAAAAGAUGCACUUUUGAGGCGCAGCGAGUGCACCCACGCCCCCAAGUUCGAGUGCAGUUGCAGUCGGGAAAGUUUGGAAAGUGCGCGGAGCGAGGAGAGCCACAAAUUCGGCCUGCGCGUCGAGCUGAAAAGAAACGGAAAAGAAAAGUGUCCAAAAAGCGGGGGAAAAGGCACGGAUAAACGGAUAUUGGAAAAUUGAAAACGAAACCAACCACCGAUUUUUGUUAAGCACCAGCAUCUCAAAAACGGGGAUAAUGGAGUCACAGAAGCGGCCGUCGUUGCAUUUACUCACGGAUGUGCCAGCAGGAUCGGCCUCUGGAGGAGCUGGACCUGCAGGAUCUGGGUCCGGAGCUGCAGCUGAGAUGUCGCCCACUUCCGGUUUCCUGCCGGACAUGCCGCAGUGGAAGAAGGACCUCAUCCAGCGCCGGAAAACGAAUGUGGCCCGCACCCAGGCGGCGUCCAUCGCCUCGCCCACCGAUGGCAGUUGUGGGGCUUUGGCUGUGGAAGCCACCACCGCUCCAGGUGCAAUUGCAGAUUCCACGGAACCGGCGACAAUCAGUAGCACUAGUCAAAAGAGAAAUAUGAUCGGUUCAGAGGAAAAGUCUGAGAAAUCUUCUAUUUCCAAUACCAAUUCCAAUUCCACUGGAGGUCAUCACUCUGUUGUUGCCGUCUCCCUUUCGCCCGAUGCGGCAGCAACAACAAAUGUAACAGUAACACCAAUACCAAAGCAGCGAUCGAGUUUACUACUCAACACAAGAAGUCAGGAGAAAGAGAUGGAGAGGGAGAUUCUAGGCGAGAGCGUGGAGAGAGAAAGAGAGACAGAGAGCGGCGAACGCGAACGCGAACGCGAACAGCCGGCUGUCGUGGUGAUGGUGAGUAGCGGCCGGUGUGGUGAAGUUGAAACUGGCACAAUUGGAGCAGCAGCAACAUCGUCGUCGUCGUCGUCAGCAAAUCAAAAUCCAAACCAAAAUCACUUGAAAACGAAAUGCAAACCGGGACAGAGCGUUGCUGAGGGCAAGCCUUCAGCGAAAGAGACCACCACCAUCACCACCACUACUAACAUUUCCAAUACCAAUUCCAUCGAUAACAACAAGAGCUGCAGCAAGACCAAGAGUAUUUCCGAUAAAUUGCAGAGCAACAAGUUCAUAAUUCAGCAGCAGCAACAACAGCAGCAGCAGCAGCAGCAACUGUCGCCCACAAAGGUAACGGUAAAACCGACAAUGGUCGCCAUGCAAGAGAUGAAGAAGUCAACCAAACAAAAUGGCCAGCACCGACACCUAGCGGGCAAAAUUGGCAGCGGCCCAGGCACAGGCGGCGAUGUAGAAUCCCCGAAUCCCAUUCCAGACGCCCUGGACACCGGCGAGGAUCUGAGCUAUGGACCUGGUAUUGUGUCCAAGUUGCGUUGCCGCUACCUCAGCCUGGCCCUCCGCGAGUCCCGCCAGCAGAGCAGCAAACAGCGCCUCCAGCGCUCCACCAGCCUGAACACAUUGCUGGAUCGCGAUGACGACGAGGUGGACGUGGAGGAGCCCGAGGUGGCCAGCCAGGUGCGUGCCAAAUCCACACCGCCACCCAUACUGGGUGCCAAACCGUCGCCGAAACCCAAUAGCCAGCUGCAGCGACCCGUGAGCCUGGGUGCCAAUGGGGGAUCAGCAGCUGUCAACCCGCCCUUGACUUCGGACGAAACCCAGCCAGGUGUCACCGCCAAUGGAGGAUCAGGUUCGGGUAAUCGAUCGCGUCACUUUAAGCGUGGCAACGAGGUGAUGAAGCGGGCCCGCUCCGUGGAGGCCCUGCUGUGCGAAAAGUCGCCGUGGAACAGUCAGAGAAUCACCACAGUCGGCGCAGCAGCAGCAACACCCUCACCACCUGCCACCAAGGCCACUGGCGCCGCCACUGCCCCCUCACCUGUCACCUCACCCACCUGCGUCACCAUCGAGGAUAAGAUCCACAAUGCUCGCGAGAGGCUGCACAGCGGCACGGAUACGGCGCCCCCCAAGCGGCUGACCUCCAUCAUCGAUGACACCGAACGGCCGCCACCGGAUCUGGUCAAGCAGACGCUUAAGAUGUUCGAGGCGAGUGCCAAUCGGCGACCGCGCGCCGCCCAUCGUUCCAAUGGCGUUGGCGGAGUGGCCAGCAAGGUGGCCAGCUACAAAUCGAUCAUCAAGGAUCAGAAGCAGCCAUCAUCAGCGGUGGCAUCGACGCCGCCACCACCGACGACUGGCAUGGGUUUCGCGUCCUCCACGCCACUGAGGAACAACCCACAUCAUGUCCAUCCGGAUAUUAUACCCCGCCAGGUCGACUCGCCCGUAUCGGCGUUGAGUGUGCUGAUGCGUCGCAUGGAUUUGCAGGAGCCAGAGACGCCGGAACGGGAGACUCGGGACACGGAGGCUACACCGCAGAGCGAGGCGCCAAGCGAGACUGAGCAAAACGAUCGCGAUGAAGGCGAUGGCGAUGGCGAAGGCGAUGACGACAGCCCCAACAACGACGAUCACGACGACGGCGGCGGCGACAGCAGCGACAACAAUGAGCAACGCGAUAAAAUGGGCGCGGCGGCAGGCGAUAAGCCUAAGCCCCCAACGGAAUCGGCAGCGGGAGGCGCCCAACGAUCAUUCGCUGCCACGACGGAGAACGCGCAUGUAGCCAGCGGGAGUAGCAGCACCAGUGUACGGAAGCUCAAUAACAAUAUCAACGAUUCCAGCGGACCAGCGGUGACCAAACAGAUUGGUGUUAUCCGGCCGCUAUUCAAUAGCCAGGGAGCUGGGAGCACGCCACUGACGAGUCGCGAGAUCGAAAAGAAUCGCAUCAAUGAGAUGAAGAAGUCGACGGCCACAGAAGCCGGUGGUGCGGGAUCCGGAACCGGAACGGGUUCUGGAUCGGGAUCGUCGCCCACCACUAGUCUCGACACCGUGAUAAACACUAAGGAUGCGGCCAGCAGCGAAACGGACGCCAGCGCCUCGCCAUUGUGGACACUGCGCAAGCUAAGGAACCACCAGAGCCAGGCAGCCGGUGGUGGAGCAGGCGGCGGCGGAUCGGGGCCCAGUUCCAGCCAUCAUUCCACGGAGAACACCUCGAUGGUGUUCAACUUCUCCAAGAGCACCAAGGAAGUGCCCGACUAUAUCGAAAGCGACGUUGUGAUUUACAGGCGCAAGCGGGAGCUGCCAAAGCCAAAUGAGCCGGGCUUCGUGUUGCUGGGCGAUCUCUCCGUGGAGACGUCGACGGACACGGACUAUGACGACUACUCCAUGUGCCCGCCAUCGCCGUGCGAUGUGGAGUUCGAAAAUGCCAACAUUGUGAUCGACGGCAAGUCCAGCAUACGCCAGAAACCCAAAGAUUCUUCGUUCCGCGUGCAGUUCAACGACACGCUGACGUCGACGUUUGAAUACCCCUCCGAGGCAUCGAUGAUCAUCGAGGAUUCGUCGUACGCCGAUCCGUUCGGCCAUGUGAGCAAGCACCACCAGAUGCUGCUGGCGGGGCAGAUGCACCUGCUGCAGCACCAGCAGCAGCUGGAGCUGGAGCAGAUGCACCAGCUGGGGCUGCAGGAGCAGCACCAUCAUGUGACCGUCGACGAGAUCAUCGAGCUGCCCACAUCGACGGCGGGACAUGGACAUGGACAUGGACAUGGACAUGGCAUUGGACUUGGACAUGGACACAGGGCGGGGGCGGCGGGGGGCGGACCGAUGCUGGGGAAUUUACCGUUGGAUUACCCAAGUUUAGGGAGGGGUAUUAUCUUGCCACAGUCGCCACAACAGCAACAGGAGCAGCCAGAACCUGCAGCAGCGGUAGCAGCAGUGGCAAUCCCGGUAGAAGUGGAAACCGUGGCCAAAACCGAGUCGACACCACCACCACCACCAUCACCCACAAUCGCCCCCAGGCGCCCCCAGCUCCCGGCGAAGCCACAGCCGUUGGUGGUGGUGCGUAGGGCCAGGCCAUCGGUGCUGCUGAAGCCGCAGUACGCCUGCUUCCUCCAGCACGAUGAUGCACCAACCAGAUCCCAGCCAGCUGCCGCCAGACCGCGCAAGGCAGCCUCCUUUACGAUGGGCAAUCAACGGCAGGCCAAGGAGCAGCAGCAGCAGCAGCAGCAUCACCAGCCACAUCAUCAUCAUCAUCAGCAGCAGAGUAAAUAUGAUAGAAACGAAUGCACCGGAGGUCGGGGCAGUGGCGAGAGUCCAGCUCCAGAACUCCAGCAGCGACGUCGUCGGCCCAGUCUGCCGUCGUCGCUGGCUUUGUCCAAUGCCAGCUCGGCCCUGCUCCAGGCACGAAUCCCGGGCACCACGCUCUACUAUGUCUGAUGGGCCAGCCAGCAAAAUAAAAAAGCACUAGUCUCCAAUACCCCCGGAAUACCAACACCAGAUAUCCAGAAAUCCAGAACACCAAUUCCACGCGACUCGAAACCGCCAGCGAAACAUAUUAUUUAAAUGUAACAGAUUACAUAAGCAAAGCGUUGAAAUAAUAUCUAUUGUAUACCAAAACCAAAUAUAUCUAUGAUAACACAAGCAAAGGCAAAUAACCCGAACUGAAAACUGAAUAACCGAUUUACUGCAGCCGCUGAACCCGAACCGCAAUAAAUAAACAAUCAAGCAAAAAAGUGAAAACUUCAGUAAUUAAA